CUACGGGAGGCUGCAGUGGGGAAUCUUAGACAAUGGGCGCAAGCCUGAUCUAGCCAUGCCGCGUGAGUGAUGAAGGCCUUAGGGUCGUAAAGCUCUUUCGCCAGGGAUGAUAAUGACAGUACCUGGUAAAGAAACCCCGGCUAACUCCGUGCCAGCAGCCGCGGUAAUACGGAGGGGGUUAGCGUUGUUCGGAAUUACUGGGCGUAAAGCGCACGUAGGCGGGCUGUUAAGUCGGGGGUGAAAUCCCGGGGCUCAACCCCGGAACUGCCUUCGAUACUGGCAGCCUGGAGUUCGAGAGAGGUGAGUGGAAUUCCGAGUGUAGAGGUGAAAUUCGUAGAUAUUCGGAGGAACACCAGUGGCGAAGGCGGCUCACUGGCUCGAUACUGACGCUGAGGUGCGAAAGCGUGGGGAGCAAACAGGAUUAGAUACCCUUGUAGUC
rnacentral:rRNA from 1 species